CCUCUAUUGAAAUAAGCUUGGGCAGCUGUUUGGCAACUACGAGUGAAAGCUUAAAAGUCAAAGUACUUGGCGGCUUUCUAACUACUCAGGGGAAUAUGCCGAUUGACUCCGAUGAUCCGCGGAAAUCUUACCCUACCUUGUAAGAACUGGUCAGUCGGUGUACUGCCGUUGUCAGCUGGUUGUGUAUAAGUAAACAAGUGGAAAGUGGCCCAAGGAAGAUCGGGGACUUCAGUAAUUCAGGUCGAAGCGCUACCUACGGUGGGUGAAAUUCGGGGUAUUACAUUUCGUACUUGGGGAACUUGAUUAACGGAUACUGGGGUUGCAAAACCUAAUUUGCGGGGAAGCUGAACUUGACAGUCAGGACUCAUUUUAUAUAAAAAGAGAAUAGCAUGCUCUCCUGAAUAAGCGCUGGAUUGCGUACAAAU
rnacentral:rRNA from 1 species